rnacentral:rRNA from 1 species
AUUGGACGCUGGCGGCAGGCCUAACACAUGCAAGUCGAAUGGUAACAGGAAACAGCUUGCUGUUUCGCUGACGAGUGGCGGACGGGUGAGUAAUGUCUGGGAAACUGCCUGAUGGAGGGGGAUAACUACUGGAAACGGUAGCUAGUACCGCAUAACGUCGCAAGACCAAAGAGGGGGACCUUCGGGCCUCUUGCCAUCAGAUGUGCCCAGAUGGGAUUAGCUAGUAGGUGGGGUAACGGCUCACCUAGGCGACGAUCCCUAGCUGGUCUGAGAGGAUGACCAGCCACACUGGAACUGAGACACGGUCCAGACUCCUACGGGAGGCAGCAGUGGGGAAUAUUGCACAAUGGGCGCAAGCCUGAUGCAGCCAUGCCGCGUGUAUGAAGAAGGCCUUCGGGUUGUAAAGUACUUUCAGCGGGGAGGAAGGGAGUAAAGUUAAUACCUUUGCUCAUUGACGUUACCCGCAGAAGAAGCACCGGCUAACUCCGUG